rnacentral:tRNA from 1 species
GGGUGUAGCUCAGUGGUAGAGCAUGUGCUUAGCAUGCAGGAGGUCCUGGGUUCAAUCCCUAGUACGCCCA